rnacentral:rRNA from 1 species
AAUCAACGCUGGCGGCGUGCCUAACACAUGCAAGUCGCACGAGAAAGGGUAGCAAUACCUGAGUAAAGUGGCGCACGGGUGAGUAACACGUGACUAAUCUACCCUCGAGUGGGGGAACAACUGAGAGAAAUCUUAGCUAAUACCGCAUAACACUUACGAGUCAAAGCAGCAAUGCGCUUGGGGAGGAGGUCGCGGCCGAUUAGCUAGUUGGCGGGGUAAUGGCCCACCAAGGCGAUGAUCGGUAUCCGGCCUGAGAGGGCGCACGGACACACUGGAACUGAAACACGGUCCAGACUCCUACGGGAGGCAGCAGUGGGGAAUCUUGCGCAAUGGGCGAAAGCCUGACGCAGCGGCGCCGUGUGC